rnacentral:lncRNA from 1 species
GUCCGAGAGAAACAGCGUUUUCAUUAUCGGAUGAUAAAACGUUCUAUUUAACUCUACCAUUCGCAAAUAGAACAACAAAAAAACAAUCCUCCUCUUCCGCUCUAACCGCGCAAAGCAUAAGAUAAAACGAGAUCAGCGUAUAUUUUCACUCGCAUUCCAAGUGGCGGGAUGAAGGAGCUGUAUAAUAAAUGUUAUACGAUGCGAGAAGAAGGAUGAAGAAAGAGGAACGUCACGUUUGUGACAUCUUAAAGUUAAAUCGAGCCCCGACGGGAAUUGAUCGAGAACUCCGAUAGCACGGAAUAAUCGACGAAUCGAACGAGAUCAGAGAUCCGGAUAAUAAUCCAGCGUGAGGAGGACCAUGUAACACCAUUCAUCCGCGAACGUCGAGGUUCGAGAAGAAAAAACGAGGGAGAGAGAUGAAAAAAAAACGUAGCGUCAUAUGUUACACGUUCGAAUGACGCAACUUGUAACGGAAGCACAGGCGUCGUCAUUCGUGUGACGUGGCCAGGCAUUCGGGCACGAAUUCUGUUAAAAGCGAAAUCUCUAGUGAAGCAAUGGCGGGCGAACUUUGCCGCGUUUUCGACGAGCUCCGUGGCCUCCGGACUUUUCACGUGGCACUUUUUCAUGAAUAGAGGAGUAGAGCCGGUGCAGUCGUGUGCGUACGAGCGUGCGCGCGCGCGCGCGCGCACGUCGAACCAUUCGGAAACGUAACGCUUCACAACUGUUUCCGCCCCCACUCCCGGCCGGAAGUCCCGUUUCAUUCAUGGAUCGGUCACAAUGGUGGUUUUACGCGGCUAUUGAGGACGCCUGCCUCCCGCCACGCCCCUUCUAGCUUCCCCUUGCGCCCCGCAGCUCCUCUCGUCCUCUCCAUCUCUUUCUCUCUCUCUCUCUCUCUCUCUCUCUCUCUCUCUCUUUGCCUUUCGUUCCCCGUACUUCUUUCGUCCUAUGCUAUCUCUGUCUCUCUCGCCCCCCACGUGUUUCCCUCUCUUCCGCCUACGUCCGCAUUACCGCUCGUAAAGUACGCGGAACGUUGAAUAUACAACAGUUCGCGGUAAUCAUAAAAAAAAAAAGAAAAUUUCAAUGCGCGCAGAAACUAAUUUGAAAGUUUAAGUUUUUCGCGCGAAAUCCGCGCGAUCGCGAUUACGCGCCGCGUCUCGGAUGCUAUUAUGCAAUUUCGGUCUGCGUGACGUACGCGCGAUAAAGAUCGCGCGGACGUGCCGUAUCGAUCGAUCGUUCCCCCGAGAUUGUCGAGAUCCCUCCUCCUUCGGACGGAAUCCCGGCCGAUCUUUACGCCCGCCAUACGCGCGGUCUACGGUCGUGCGAUUUUUCCGUGAUCCACUUUUCUCCUCCCGCCGUGCCGAGAUUAGGAGCGGACGGUUAUAGUCUCGCGCGCGGUCAGACAAAUAAACGCAGCGCACCUUCGGAAAGUGCGGCGAGAAAUAUUGCGAUGUGAGCGAGGUGAGUUAUAGUAUCUCCCGCCUUUCUAUCUAAAAGUACAGGCGAAAAUACUUGUUUGAAACGAAAGGCAUGAAGUAACGACGGAUUCCAAGUUUCCCGUCUUUCGUCGUUAUAAGGAAAACCAACUUAUUUGGGUUUAAAAGUAAAUUUUUUGUCGAUAUUUUGCGCAUUUUAUUUCACUUCUUUUUUCUUACAUUUCGCAAUAUUUAUUGAAUAAAUAACCGAAGCUAGCGCGUUAGCACAACGCGAUGUAAUUUGUACCCCGUACUGCUUAUACUUUUUCACGGAUUCUAUACAGCUCCUUGCUUACAUAGGAGCGAAAGCCGAUCGUCAAACAGAAAAAAAA